rnacentral:rRNA from 1 species
UACGUGGGGUGCGAGCGUUGUCCGGAAUCACUGGGCUUAAAGGGCGCGUAGGCGGCUUGCCAAGUCAGGGGUGAAAUCUUUCGGCUUAACCGGAAAAGUGCCUCUGAUACUGGCGAGCUAGAGGGAGGUAGGGGCAUGUGGAACUUCCGGUGGAGCGGUGAAAUGCGUUGAUAUCGGAAGGAACGCCGGUGGCGAAAGCGACGUGCUGGAUCUCUUCUGACGCUGAGGCGCGAAAGCUAGGGGAGCGAACGGG